rnacentral:SRP_RNA from 1 species
GCCGGGCGCGGUGGCUCAAACCUGUAAUCCCAGCACUUUGGGAGGCCGAGAUGGGCGGAUCACGAGGUCAGGAGAUCGAGACCAUCCUGGCUAACACGGUGAAACCCCGUCUCUAGUAGAGACGGGGUUUCACCGUGUUAGCCAGGAUGGUCUCGAUCUCCUGACCUCGUGAUCCGCCCAUCUCGG